AUUAUAAAAGCUAAACACUGAGCUGGCAAUGAAGAACUGCAGGACGCAGGUGUAUGAUGCCCUUUCAAGAAAGCUGGCAGUGAAAACAGGAUCCGUAGCAAAGCAGAAGCUCACAUUUUCUUUGGGUCUCCAUCUAACUAAAAUGGCAAAAGAACGUUCAAAUAUGAAGAAUUAAGACUGUUAUACACAUUAUGGGUAAUUUUUACCACAACUCUGUAAAGAACACACUAUUAACUACAUUUUUCAAAUGAGGAAACUGAAUUUAAGGCAAGUUAAAUCAACAGUCUGAGUUCACAUGGCCAGCCUGGAGUAUUUACAGCUUUGCUCUUGCAAGUCUCUGGGAGCUCACCGUCCCUUUUUAGUGCCUGCCACAGCUCUGGGAGUAUCUCCUUCAUGAAACUCUUUUUAAGUACCUCCAUUUGAGGGUGUUGUCUGUUUUAUGACGGCUGCUGCCUGAUACAGGAAGCAUGGCAGGAGCAGACACACCAGCAUCUGGCCAUGUAUUACACCAAACAUUUUGGAAAAUCACCUGUGUGACAAAUACGUGAGAUACUGGGAAGACAAAGAUGCAUGUGACAUAGUGCCUGCCCUCAAGGAGCUUGGUGAAAUAGAUAAAUUAAUAAGAGGAUUAAGUGUGGAUUUGUGCUAUUUAAUAUAACUGAAGUAGAUCACAAGGGAAGAAGGAAUGAUGUUUCUCUUGUAUUUCAUAGGUUAGGUUUUAUUAAGAAGAUGAUGCUAGAAUCAGGUUUUGAAAAGAAGUAAUGUUUUUGAGGGGUCAGGAUUAGAAUGAAACAACUGGAAAAAUGUACAUUUUGUGAUAGAAACGCCCUAUUUUUUGCCUUGUGUUUGUCUCAGAAUUAGUCAUUGGUUAUUAGAAAUAAACUCAUUAAGGCACUCUUUUCAAAUAAGUAUUCAUGCUUGAGUAACUCAUCCUUUUAGUCUUCUCGAAAGUACUCUAAGUUUUUUUACCUAUUCCCUAGUUAAUAAUGUCAAGGGUCCCUUAGGCACGGAGUAGGCACUAUGUCCCUUGGACACAAGAGAUCUUAGGUAUGUACUUUCCCUACUCUUGUACUUUGUUUUGUUAAUGCCAACUUCGGUGUAAAAUGUGAAUGUUUAUUAUUACUCCCAAGAAAAAUUCGUGAAAUAUUUGAAAAUGGGCAAAGAAAAAUAAUAUAUUACUGGUUGUCUAUGCACUCCUCCAGGUCAUCCCCAAAUUUCAUUGUCUUUAAACUAUUUUCAAUUCUCCAAACUGUGACAUAGCAGAACACAUGCUCUUUCCAGAGAUAGCAAAUGAGAGGGCAAUUGAUGCCCACUCCCCCCACCCAGUGGGAAAAGCCAGUUUUGUAACUAUGUAUAAAUUCAUUUUUGCUUUCCUGAAGGAUCUAAAUAAACAUAUAUGGUGCUUUGAAUUUUCCUUUGAGUCAGUUGUAAUAUUUAGUUGUUCUUUCA